GACGAACGCUGGCGGCGUGCCUAACACAUGCAAGUCGAACGGAAAGGCCCUGCGUUUGUGCGGUGCCCGAGUGGCGAACGGGUGAGUAACACGUGAGUAACCUGCCCUUGACUUUGGGAGAACUUCAGGAAACUGGGGCUAAUACCGGAUAGGAGCUCCCGCUGCAGGGUGGGCGUUGGAACGUUUCGGCGGUUGGGGAUGGACUCGCGGCUUAUGAGCUUGCUGGUGGGGUAGUGGCAUACCAAGGCAUUGACGGGUAGCCCGCCUGGGAGGGGGACCGGCCCCGAGGCGCCUGGGAUACGCCCCAGACUGGAACGGUAGGCAACGGGGGCGAGCAUUGCACAGCGGGCGGAAGCCUGUUGCGGAGGCGCCGCGUGCGGGAAGCCGGCCUUCGGGUUGUGAACCGCUGCCGCUUGAUACGAAGCGGUAGUGACGGUAACGGGAGAAGAAGCACCGGCUAACUACGUG
rnacentral:rRNA from 1 species